UACGUAGGGUGCAAGCGUUAAUCGGAAUUACUGGGCGUAAAGCGUGCGCAGGCGGUUGUGCAAGACAGAUGUGAAAUCCCCGGGCUCAACCUGGGAACUGCAUUUGUGACUGCACAGCUUGAGUGCGGCAGAGGGGGAUGGAAUUCCGCGUGUAGCAGUGAAAUGCGCAGAUAUCAGGAGGAACACCAAUGGCGAAGGCAGCUCGCUGGACCUUUUCUGACGCUGAGGCGCGAAAGCUAGGGGAGCAAACGGG
rnacentral:rRNA from 1 species